GAAUUCUCUUAUUCAAAUUAUCAGUAUAACAGUUUUGAUAACUGUUAAGAAUGAAGAGGAUGCAGCUGAUAACAAAGUAUGCAUAUAUGAGAAAAUCCCUAUUAACUCUUUGGGGAGAAAGCCCCACAGCAAGAGGACCGAUGAAUAGAGCAAACUGGUCAUACCACUGUUUCUGACUCUCCUACAGGAAAACUGCUGGAGAAGAAUGAAGGUUGUUUCUAUAAAUACCACCAAAGAAGACAGUUAAA